GAUCCCCGGACGCGCGGCCCCCCCACCCGCGGCCCCGCGCGCCUCUCCCUGACACCACCCUCCGCGGCCCCCUCCGGACCCUCUGGCCCCCAAGACGCCCCUCCGGCCCUCCCCUAGGAGAGGGGGCCCUCGCCAAGUCUCCGCCUUCCUGCCCUCCUCCUGUCAAUGCCGCUGUCCAGAGCUCGCAGCCCUGGGAACGCCACUCCAGCGGGGCCUCCUUCUCCUGGGACCCCCUGGGCCCCACCCCCAGGACCUCCCACCUCUGCAAACCCCGAGUUUGCUUUUCCCAUCCACCGGGCAGCUCUUCUCCACGCCCACCUGGCUGGACCCGGGAAACCGAAGAAGUUAGUGGGGGUUCACCAGUAGGAAUCGGUAUGAGGGAGAGCCUGGAGGAGGAAAUGGGGAAAGGGGAAAUGUUCAGAAGGAAUGGAGGACAGCGAGCAGGGUAUUCGGGGAUGGAGGACCAAGUGUGUUUCUUUGGGAAGUGCUGGCAUGUAGGGGUGUGUGCUGUGUACCUGUGUGAAGGAUGUACGCAGAAUGUAGAGUAUGGGGUACGUGAGGGUGGUGUGUACGUAUGUGUCCUGUGGCGGGGAGCGGUGUGCAUUCCGAGAUGUGCGCAGGGUGAACACAGUGUACGUGCAAUGUCCAGGCGUGUGGUGUGCAAGUGUGUGUCUGUGUGUUAUGUGGUGAAUGUGCAGGAAAGGUGUCGCCUUGAGGUGUGGGUAGAGUAUUGUAGGUGCUGGGGGGUUAUGAAUAGGGUAUGCGGGAGAACUGGCUAGAGAUUUCUCUCAGAGGACCAGCCAUGGAGAAGGCCAGGAUGAAGUCUUGGGGAGAACCUCGGGUGAGUUCAGCUCUGAGUCCAUUUCCGUUUUCAGAUCUGGCAGACAAAUCCCUCACACUCAGGUAAAUAAAUUCGGCCUGUGCUCGAGUGCACGAGAAGGGAGAACGUUGUAGUAGCCCAGAUCUGGACUUGGACCACUGGAGGCCUCCCUCUGGCAACCCCGCCCUGGCCUGCAGUCCGGGGUGUGGGUGAUUCAGGCCGCCUGCGCAGCAGCUUCGGAACCGCGGGUUGCCUUGGCUGCGCCUUUAGCUGGGGCUGGGAGAAGCCGGGUCCGAGAGUCGGGAAGAGGGAGAGGUGGAGAGAAUGCGCCUGCGCACGAGUCUUUCCCACAGCAGGUUCAAGUCAGGAAAAGGCCUAGGGACUUUCCUAUUUUUUGCCCUUUAAAGUCAGAGACCCUUCCAAAACUGAGCGCUGUAUUGCCUGGGGAAGCCGCGCCUAUGUGUCCGAGGCAGCUCUGGGGUUCUUGCCCACCCUUCCGGGAAGCCGAUUGCUAGUGGGUGUAUGGAGGCUUUCCAAAGACUCCCGGAGGUUUGCGUGGGUUUCACUUCGGGCCAUAGCUUCAGAAAGAGCGAGCCUGCCUCUCUGUAUUUUUAGCAGGAGGAGCAGAAUUUGAAACAGCAGCAUACCGGUCCUGCGCCUGGUGAAGGAUGACUCGCCAGAAAGCAAAGGCACAGCCCUACCUCCGCGAGCUUGGCGCGUGGCCCAGGAGGCUCCGCGAGCCCUCGUACGUAAGGAUCGCGGCGCCCACGCUUGAGAGCAGAGCUCAGUGCAAACUUCCAACGGUUCUUCCAGUUUCCAGGGAAACGAGAUCUGGAGCUGCUGUGCGUUGCAGAGCUGCCUCUCUGCAACCCACAUGGGACCCCUGUGGCUGGCUGGUCUUGGGGAAGAAGGAGUUGAAGCCACCACAUCCAUGAAGGUUUUGUCUGGAGCCUGUCUGAUCCGAUGCAUUCAGUACUGAAAGCUUUCAGGAACAUUCUUUUACUCACUUCUCAGGACAACCGGUGAGGUAGGUCCCCUGUUAUCCCCAGUAGGACUUUUCAUUAGUAAAUUAGUGACUGGAAUUGGGACAGAAACCCACACUCUGUGACCAGGCUAUGCUCCCCCCACCCCCGAUGCCUUCCUGAUUCCAACCCCUGCAGAGGAUCCUCAAGGUGCAGGAUUUCCCUGGAGUACAAAUAGGUCUUUUCUAUCAGGUCGGAUUGGAAAUGGCCAGGUCAGGAGAAUUCCAACUAUUUCUGGGGCUAGCUGAGUAUGUACGUGUCUGUGGUGCCAAAAAAAAAAAUAAAUAAAAAUCUAGUUCUUUGGAGAGUAUGGUGGCAGGAGCCUGCAAACACGGAGAGGGGAACUCACUGAGAAGGGUCUUUAAGCCGAAGCAAUUCAAUUUUAUUCUGAGGGCAGGAACACAGAGAUUUCAGGCGAGCAUCCUGGCGUGUGCUGAGAAGGAGCUCUGCUGCCUGGGAUCUAGGGGAGCGAAAGGAGCUUUCUCUCUGCUUGCAGUGUAAAAUCCCAGGUACAGGGAAUCACCCUGCAGCUUCUGCUCAGCAGUCUUUCUAAAAGGACUGGGAGUUAGCGGAGAGUGGGAGGGGCAAUCUGUGGUCCCGCGACAGCGAAACCGGGGAUGACAUUGAAGCUAACCCAGGUAGGAUUUUAGAGCAGAUUGAAUUGCUUUAUUUCAGGAUCCUUUCACCGAGGAAGAGCUCAUCAUGCUCUGUUGUGAGCCAUCCUCAACUUCCACUUGCAGAGUCUGCUUAACCUUCCAUGCAUGCCAAGGAGGGGACCCAGGGUAGCUGCGGUCUAGUCACGUGACCUGGAGGGUCAGAGGCAGGAAGGAGAGCAACUCCAGAAAGAACCACACCGGUGAGGGAUAACUUUGCCACUUUUCCAGGAAAAUGACAUCAUUAACUACUGUUCAAGUUCCUACAGAGGUCUGGCGGCCUUCUGGGGGCAGGUAUCACUCUCCCACACCAUCACCUUUUAAAUAUUUUAUUAACAUAUGUCUUAGUCUACCUUCUUUUACUGUAACUGAAUAACAUUUACAAAGAACAAUGGUUUAUUUAGCUAACACUUCAGAAGUGCUUGCAACUGUGAAGCCCUUGUGCUGUGUAUAGUAUGGUGUAAGGAAUGACUUGGCAAGACAGAGCAGCCAAAGAGCUUCUUCCACAACAAAACCGCUCAACCAAUUAUAUCCCAAAGGUUCCACCAAACACCAUGAGCAUAUGACUUUGGGGGUCACGUUUCUCGCCUGUGGAUUCUGGGGACAAGCGUUCAUGCAUCACAAGUAGCCAAAUAGUUGAAAUGUUCAUUGUUAAGCCUCACCCCCUCCCGACCCCCCUUUUUUUCCUAGGAACAGCCACGUUAAUCUGUUACUUCACACAGGCAGUGCAGGCAUCCUCUGUGCAAAACACCCAACGGUGAAUCUUCCAAAGAAUUCAUGAAACCGUAGCCGAGUUCUCAGAGACACAACAGUGUUUCUUACUAUGUUCAAAGUCUUAUAGAAUGUAACACAGAAAAUAUUAAAUAUACAAUGUGCUAUCUUCAUGGCAUAGAAACAAGCAUUUAUCUAACUUACGAAAGACAGAAGUGCCCGAGACACGGCCCAGGACCUGUCAGCCAACCAGAGCUUCUUCCUGCACUUGCUUAGGCAUUUGUAGAAGGAAUCUAUCCCAGCCGCUACAGCUGGUCUGGUUUGUUUUCUUUUGUUUGUUCAUUUGUUUUUAUUUUACAGAGAGUCAGAGAGCAUGAUUCUCCCUACCUGGCUUCUUUUGUUCCAUAAAUAAUGUUUGUGGAGCGUGUCCACGAUGCUGCGCACAGCCCUGGCUCACUCAUGGCUGGUAAUGAAACCCUGCAGCUGACCAGUUUCACUGCAGUAAGCAACACAUUGCUUCUUGUUUGGGAAUGGUGUGUCGGGAAUCAUUGAGACACGCAGCUGAGUAACCCUGUCUGAUUAAUACUGUCUUUACUUCUAUUUCCCCCUCUUUGCAUCGAGGUGCAAUUUAUGUACAAUAAGAAUCAUUGAUUUUAACUGUAUGAUUCCACGAGUUUGGACAGCUGCAUACAUUAUACGGACGACCCACUCAUGACUCAAUGCUGGUCCAACUCCUGCAAAUGCUAAGCUCAGCUUUUCCCGACUCCCACCUCGUGCAGUAUACAGGAUUUCCUGUGCAUGGGCAACCUUUUCUGUCUGGCUUCAGUGCCUUUCAGAUUCGUCCAAACUCUCACAUGAAUCGAUUGGUUGUGCUUAUUGCUGAAUAGAAUUCUAGUAAAAAGUGUUUAUCCAUUCACGGCAUGGUGGGCAUUCUGGCUGUCUCUGACGGGGUGACUGACCUGUAUUCAACCGUGGUACCAUGCAGGUUUAAGUCGAUAUGAGCGUGCUUCCAACUCCUUAGGUGUGUGGUAGGAGUGUGAUUGCUGGGCUGCAUCACCACACAUUUACAGUUAUCCUUAAAGAAAACAGAAGAUCAUUAACUAGAAUCAUUUUCCGCCCCCAUCCCCCCGUGCCGUAUGUGUAUACUCCUGGGUUGUGUUUUUAGCAACACAAGGUGUGUCAGCUUCCCUAGCAUGUUGGCCAGCCUGGCGUCCAUAGAUGGAUUCUCAUGGUGGCUUUAAUUUGCAUUGCCUGGUUUUGAAUGCUAUCAACACUUUCACUUAUCUUCAGUAAUGCGCGGGCGCGCGCGCGCGCGCGCACACACACACACACACACACACACACACACACACACACACUUGGUUAGCUUUUUCGAAAAUUACGUGGUCUCUAAGUCUCUAUCAUUUUAUCAACAGUGAAUAGAAGCGUGACUGGAAAUGUGGCGUACGUUGGCCCUGUGGAUUCUCCUGUAAUAGCCCAAGCACAUAUUAUACCUCUUUCAGCUGAUCCCUCGAAAACUCAUCACUACUCAACCUGGUCUCCUCUGGAGUCUAAAUGAAGCACUUAAUGGGAAUCCACCUAAGCCUCCUCUGGCUUCUGUUUAUGACAGUAAAGAGUCCAGAAAUGGUUCUGGCUCUGUCUCCCACAUACUCCAGCCUCCCACCACUCCAACUGGGGUGAACUUUCCUUCUACCUGUGGAACACAUCAAAUGGAGUUCUUGUGUUUCCUGUGUUCAUUUUCUCGUCUGAAAUCAUGCUGUUGCUGCUGUCUACCACACUAUGUCCUUGUAUUCCUAGACCUCCAAAACCAGGGCUGGACAGUCCAGGUGGAGCCUUUCUUCCUUAGCAGACGUAAGUAGACACAACCAUCCUGUAGGGCGAACAAGAGCUUGGUGGCUGGACAACCACUUCAGAUUUUCAAAUACACCCUCACAGAGAUGCUCAGGGAUGCUCACUGAAGUUUCAUCUGAGGCAGGGAGUCACAAGAAAGCAGAGAAGGAUGACCCCUGCCAAAACCAUGUUAGAGCAAAGGUGGCAGGGUCUCCCUUCCCUUGAAAUAACUCAAAUGCUGGACAGAGGACAGAAAGCAUGGUUUUCAAAUGCUAAUCAUGAAACAAGGCAAGACUGUGACAGAGAAUCAAAGAAAGCCUCCAGUGCCUCGUGUAACAGCUUAAGAGUUGCCAGCAAUGGUGCCAGCCGAGGAGCCCAGGCAGACUCAAAGAACUUCCCUGGGUUUAAGAGACAUGCUUGUGCUCAAGGGACCAAACUAAAUGUAUACAGGUUUGAUUUUUGUCAAUUAUGCUUCAAUAUAACUAUAAAAACUGGGGUAAAAGCACACUGUAAAAUACUGUCAAUCAGAAGUAACAAAGCUGUAUCUAAUACAUAACUCUAAGUGAGUAAAGAAUCAAUAUUGUCCAACCA
rnacentral:sRNA from 1 species